rnacentral:lncRNA from 1 species
CCACACCGUCACUCUCUCUCUUCUCUCCCCCUCUCUCUCACCUGCCGCCACCUCCCACACCACCACCAUCCCGACGAUCUGCUCCUCCGUCUUCUCCGGCGACAUCACCGUCGCUCUGGCGACAUCACCGUCGCUCCGGCGACAUCACCGUCUCCUCCGUCUUCUCCGGCAACAUCACCGUCUCCUCCGUCUUCUCCUGCGACAUAACCGUCUCCUCCGUUCCAGUGGGGGUGGUGGGUUUAAUGGUGUUUGUUGCUGGUUUGGGUUGUUGCAGGUUGGGGUUAGGGUUCUAGUGGGGGUGGUGAUGGUGGAGACGGUGGUGGGUGAAGGAGAGAGAGAGAGAAUCGAUGGUGGUGGGUGGGUUGUGUGGGUGGUUUUGGUGGAAGCAAAGAAGUUAUUUCCUCACACUUGAUGUAUACUCUUCACAUAAAGGUUGUCUUCCGGUCACUUUGACAUAAUAAUUUUGCCCUAUAAAUACUUCCAAAACUGCAUUCUCUAUGUACACUGACGACUCAAACUUUAAAAUCAGAGACGAUUGAUGGUGGGCUUGUAAAUAUUUGGAGGAGAAGUGAUGAGAGAGGGAAGAGAGAGAGAAGGGAGAGUUUUUUAUUUCUUUUUUUAUUUUUCAAUGUUUUACAUAUAGUCCUUAAGUAAUAAUUUAUUACAAAAUAACCCAUAGGAGGCAAAAUGACAAAACUGCCCUCAUGUGCAAGGCACAUGACCAACUUUAACAAAAAAAUCUAACUGAGUUUGGCUUAAAGGACAUAACGUGCAGGAUUUUGAAACGUUAAGGACAAAACUCGUCAAUUUUAAAGACAAAGGACAGCGCCUGAAAUUUGAGACAAACAUAAAGGACAAAACUUGUAAUUUACUCUAUUUUUUAUCAUAACUAUGAUAGUGUUUUUCUUUAUUUGGUUAACUCGAUGCAUCUUUUUUUAUAUUGUGUUACAAGUAGCAUGUAUAACUAACUGAAAUAAAUGUGUACAUAAUAUUAAACUAAGAAAUAUUUGGU